rnacentral:rRNA from 1 species
UGCUAUCUGCAGUCGAGCGGAAGAAGGGAGCUUGCUCCCGGAUGUUAGCGGCGGACGGGUGAGUAACACGUGGGUAACCUGCCUGUAAGACUGGGAUAACUCCGGGAAACCGGAGCUAAUACCGGAUAGUUCCUUGAACCGCAUGGUUCAAGGAUGAAAGACGGUUUCGGCUGUCACUUACAGAUGGACCCGCGGCGCAUUAGCUAGUUGGUGGGGUAAUGGCUCACCAAGGCGACGAUGCGUAGCCGACCUGAGAGGGUGAUCGGCCACACUGGGACUGAGACACGGCCCAGACUCCUACGGGAGGCAGCAGUAGGGAAUCUUCCGCAAUGGACGAAAGUCUGACGGAGCAACGCCGCGUGAGUGAUGAAGGUUUUCGGAUCGUAAAGCUCUGUUGUUAGGGAAGAACAAGUGCGAGAGUAACUGCUCGCACCUUGACGGUACCUAACCAGAAAGCCACGGCUAACUACGUGCCAGCAGCCGCGGUAAUACGUAGGUGGCAAGCGUUGUCCGGAAUUAUUGGGCGUAAAGGGCUCGCAGGCGGUUUCUUAAGUCUGAUGUGAAAGCCCCCGGCUCAACCGGGGAGGGUCAUUGGAAACUGGGAAACUUGAGUGCAGAAGAGGAGAGUGGAAUUCCACGUGUAGCGGUGAAAUGCGUAGAGAUGUGGAGGAACACCAGUGGCGAAGGCGACUCUCUGGUCUGUAACUGACGCUGAGGAGCGAAAGCGUGGGGAGCGAACAGGAUUAGAUA